rnacentral:rRNA from 1 species
GACGAACGCUGGCGGCGUGCUUAACACAUGCAAGUCGAACGGUGAAGCGCCUUCCUUUUUGGUGGGUGUGGAUGAGUGGCGAACGGGUGAGUAACACGUGAGUAACCUGCCCCCUUCUUCUGGAUAACCGCAUGAAAGUGUGGCUAAUACGGGAUAUUCUGGGUCUGUCGCAUGAUGGGUCUGGGAAAGAUAUUGUUUCGGUGGGGGUGGGGCUCGCGGCCUAUCGGCUUGUUGGUGGGGUGAUGGCCUACCAAGGCGGUGACGGGUAGCCGGCCUGAGAGGGUGGACGGUCACACUGGGACUGAGACACGGCCCAGACUCCUACGGGAGGCAGCAGUGGGGAAUAUUGCACAAUGGGCGCAAGCCUGAUGCAGCGACGCCGCGUGAGGGAUGGAGGCCUUCGGGUUGUGAACCUCUUUCGCCAGUGAAGCAGGCCUGCCUCGUUUGUGGGUGGGUUGACGGUAGCUGGAUAAGAAGCGCCGGCUAACUACGUG